UGGGGAAUAUUGGGCAAUGGGCGAAAGCCUGACCCAGCGACGCCGCGUGGGCGAUGAAGGCCUUCGGGUUGUAAAGCCCUGUCAUGCGGAAAGAACGACCCUGUGACGCAUACUCACAGGGAGUGACGGUACCGCAGGAGGAAGCACCGGCUAACUCCGUGCCAGCAGCCGAGGUACUACGGAGGGUGCAAGCGUUGUUCGGAAUUAUUGGGCGUAAAGGGCGCGUAGGCGGCAGUGUAAGUCAGAUGUGAAAUACUCGGGCGUAACCAGAGAACAGC
rnacentral:rRNA from 1 species